UACGUAGGUGGCAAGCGUUGUCCGGAUUUAUUGGGUUUAAAGGGUGCGUAGGCGGCCCUGUAAGUCAGUGGUGAAAUACUCUAGCUUAACUAGAGGGGUGCCAAUGAUACUGCAGGGCUUGAGUACAGAUGGGGUAGGCGGAAUUGACGGUGUAGCGGUGAAAUGCAUAGAUAUCGUCAAGAACACCUAUAGCGAAGGCAGCUUACUGGGCUGUAACUGACGCUGAGGCACGAAAGUGUGGGGAUCAAACAGG
rnacentral:rRNA from 1 species